GACGAACGCUGGCGGCGUGCUUAACACAUGCAAGUCGAACGGAAAGGCCCUGCUUUUGUGGGGUGCUCGAGUGGCGAACGGGUGAGUAACACGUGAGUAACCUGCCCUUGACUUUGGGAUAACUUCAGGAAACUGGGGCUAAUACCGGAUAGGAGCUCCUGCUGCAUGGUGGGGGUUGGAAAGUUUCGGCGGUUGGGGAUGGACUCGCGGCUUAUCAGCUUGUUUGUGGGGUAGUGGCUUACCAAGGCUUUGACGGGUAGCCGGCCUGAGAGGGUGACCGGCCACAUUGGGACUGAGAUACGGCCCAGACUCCUACGGGAGGCAGCAGUGGGGAAUAUUGCACAAUGGGCGGAAGCCUGAUGCAGCAACGCCGCGUGCGGGAUGACGGCCUUCGGGUUGUAACCCGCUUUCGCCUGUGACGAAGCGUGAGUGACGGUAAUGGGUAAAGAAGCACCGGCUAACUACGUG
rnacentral:rRNA from 1 species